rnacentral:rRNA from 1 species
UACGUAGGGUGCGAGCGUUAAUCGGAAUUACUGGGCGUAAAGCGUGCGCAGGCGGUUUUGUAAGCCAGAUGUGAAAGCCCCGGGCUUAACCUGGGAAUGGCAUUUGGGACUGCAAGGCUUGAGUGCGGCAGAGGAGACUGGAAUUCCUGGUGUAGCAGUGAAAUGCGCAGAUAUCAGGAGGAACACCAGCGGCGAAGGCGGCGCUCUGGGCCGGUACUGACACUGAGGAGCGAAAGCGUGGGUAGCAAACAGG